AAUGUUUGAACAGUUUCUCCUUUUUGGGAAUGAAGAUGAAAUUGGGCUAGAAUGAGAUGUGUGAUUGAGAGAAUGUCCCUGAGGCCUGAGCAGUGUGUCCUUUUGGGUAUGGGCAUUGGAAGCAUGUAGUGAAUUCUUAUAAUUUUAUGUUGCCUCGGCAUCCAUCUUGAGUAUAAGUUUAACUUUGUUAUACCAGAAGCAAGGCUUACUCACUUUUGCACAGUUUCCAGUUCUACACCUCCUUCUCGUUCCUCAGUGUGAUUGGUCCAGAUAGCUGCCUUAUCCAACUGCCUCCUUUGGACCACUUCAUCAUGGGACAGCUUGAUGCAAUCUACUUGACAAGACCCUGGAACCCCACACCCCUCAUGGAACCAGUGUCCACCUCCCAGUCACAGUGUGACCCCAGGGAACUCUUGCCUGCUUGCUUUAAACCCACCACUUAAAAGUCUCCACAGAAAACCUGUUUGAAUAGUACCCUUGACCCAAUAAGGGCAUUGGCCCCUGGGUGUCUCUCUCUCUCUCUCUCUCUCUCUCUCCCUCUCUCUCCCUCUCUCUCUCUCGCUCCCUGACCUCUGCGUGUGGACUCCAGGCAUGCCAUAUACCCCUCAGGACCUGAAGCAAAAGAAUGAAUUAAAGAAAACUCCAGAGAAUGAGCUGACAACCUACUCCCUGGUCAGUGGCUCUCCAUGCCUACCUGUGGUCUCUUGGACACCCUUGCAGAAGAUGACUUCCUGGGAACUCUUCUGGGAGUGAAUGUUAUCAGCAAAUUCCCAAAACAACACCCCUUAGACAAAAAGCCUCCUCACCUAUGCAUUGCCUAGACCACCCACUAAAGGUGAUGGCCACAAAGAGGUGGAUUUGUUGAGUUGGUGCCAUUCCUUCUACUGCCAGCUUCACCAAAACAAUGACACAGUCUUCCUUCCGCAUGGAGACUCUUCUCUUUCCUGUGUUGCAGUGGAUGCCUCCUGCAGAUAAGAAAUGCUUAACUGAGAAAUGCUCAUGUUGGGAUAUCAUCGAUGAGACUUUAAUUUGGGCAUGGUGACUGUUUCCCUUGCUGCCACUUGACUCAAUCCCAGGAGCCUCAGUAGAGGAUAUAAUAUUACACAAGAUGCUCAAAAUGGUGGAAUUGCUCAGUGCUCCCAUAAAUAUACAUUUAUAAUUUUCAUUUGCCACAUGGUAAACUGAAAAAUACAGACUAUAUUAAAAAGAAACUGCAUGAUUUUUUUUCAAAAAUUCAAAGCAUAUUUAAAUAAUAUAUAAAUUAAAUGCCCUCCUCUCUUCCAAUUCUGUCCCUAUAGUUUUCCUCUAUUAAGUGAACUACAUGCAUUCUUUUAGUGGAUAGAUGCACACAAACACACAAGCCAUUAUGGGGAAGGAUCCACGUGUGUGGCCAUAUUGUAACACAUUUUUCUGCAAAUCACCUCUUUCAUUUAACAGCCCUUAUUCAAUGGCCUUUUUCUUUUUCAGUAGUACAUACACAUCUGUGUCAUUUGUUGAAUGACGACAUGAAUGUUUUGUAGAUAAAAUAUAAUUAAAUGUUUUAAGCAUUUCUCACUCAUAGAUAUUUAUGUUAGCACCAAAUUUCUGUGCAAUGAACCUCCCUAUAUAUCAGUAAUUUUGCAUUUGUCUAUAAUAUCAUAAUAAAUUACUUAUCAGUUGAAUUACUGGGAUUAAGUAUGUGCACACUUUAUAUUUAUAUUUUGAAAAUUAUUGCAAGAUUGCCUUCAAAAAUGUGGUUAACAACUUUAUCUUCAAAUGGCAAUGAAUGAGAUUGCCAGCUUUCCUACAGCCUCACAGACAAUGGAUUUUAUAAAUAUUUAACAUUUUUGCCAAUGUGAUCACCCAAACUAUUGUCUUAAAUUGUAUCUCUUUUGUUUUUGAGUUUGGUCAUUUUUUCAUGUUUAUUAGCCAUCUGUAUUUUUUAAUUUCUUCUUUAUGUCCAAUUUUGUGGGUGGGAGGAGGAUUUAGUCUCUUCCUGAUUUCGAAGAGCUCAUUUACUAUUUCGGGAAAUAAGAUUUGGAUUGUCAACCAUUAUAGCUAUUUUUUACACACUUUUCAACUUUGUUUUUGUUAUAAGAAUGUGUAUGAUUGUUACAUGUCCAAGUAUAACCAUGUUCGCUUUUAUGGCUUCUGAGUUUCAUGUCAUUUUUGGAAAGAUAUAUAUAUUGAGUCCAUAAAACCCUUCACCUAUGUUAAAUUCUAAUUCUUUUGUGUUUUUUUAAUUCAAAUUCUUAAAUCAUGAGAAAUUUUUUUGUUUUGAAAUCUUAAAGUUGCCAAGUUACUUGCCAUUACUUGCGAUUAUUUGCCAAUAAUUGCCCAUUUAUCUGUACCGCCAUCUUGCGCAUAUGCUGUACUCUCAUCUGUGACUGGCUCCAUUUUUGUUCUGUGGAUUUGUGUGUCUCUUCUUCUGCCUCCUGUCUCGUGUCUGCUCGUUGGAAGAAAUUACAGUUUAGACUGCAAUUUCAUCAACUUUAAUAAAUCAAUUGAGGGGAGAAUUGGUUUUUAAAAAUAUUAAGUAAGUCUUCGUAUCCAAGGACAAGGUAUGUCUUUUCUUAUUCAAUAAUUUUAAUUACUGUUAAUAUUUUCACUGUGGUGAUGGGAGUUUUUCUUUUAAUUUAUUUUCUUGUUCAUUUUUUGUAUCUAAAGUUUUUGUUUUGUUUUGUUUUGGGGGUAAGUUGUCACCUUACUGUUUCUUGUUGCUUUUCAGAUUUUUUCAAAGUAUAGACUAAAUCCUUCACAAAUAUUUAAAGUUUUUAUUUUCCCCCUUCAUAUUGAUCCUGAUUUUAGUUAUGUUGACAAAGUCCACAGACUGUUACUAUCAGAACACUUGAACAGUUAUGGAAAUAUUACCUACCCUUGAUUUAAUCAGAGUUUAAUGGUAUGCUUCUUUGGUUUGACUGGCACAUUGUCGCUGGUCAUUUCCUCCCAAAGACCACCAGAAAGAGCUAUGAUCAAGCAAAGCUGAGUUUGUUAAACUUACCUGCAGCAAGGGAAAACACCACCUUGAUAGGGUUUAAUAAUGUUUCAAAAUCAAGAAAUGAGGCUUUGGGGUCUGGGCAGGGAACUAAUUAGAAAUGGGCAAAAUUUGUCAUGCAAUACCUUGUGGGAAAGUGAGAUGAGGUUCUUAAUGUGAGUAUUGAUGGUGAAAUCAUUUUCUAGGUGAGCUGUUUGCCUAUAUAAAGAUGUUAUCAAUGACAGAAGAACUAUUUGCCUAGAUAAACAAACUGAAUUUAUUUAUUGGUUUACAGUUUUAUCUUGCUGGGCAGGACUCUGCUGGGGGUGGUAUCAGGUCUUAUUCCCAAUAGGUAAGUUAUUUGGAUAUGGGUGGUCUUAAUCAUCAAUGUGUAAAAUGCUGAUUUUAAGUGCGAAAUACUUUGUCUACCAUGUUAGGAAAGUCUGCCACCUUUUAUCUUUUUUAAGGAAUUUUAAUCAAAACCAGGUGGUAGAUAUAAUCAAAUUGUUUUGCAGAAUCAAUUUUCCUGUUCUCUUUAAAGACUUUUAUCACUGUGAAUUAAUUUACUAUUAUUGCAACUUCCUUUAAUUCCUUGAAUGAACAGACCCUACUGGUUUUAAAAAUGUUUUAUUCUUUUAAUUUACUACUUAAUUGUGGGUAUUUUAAUUUGAUUUGGAAUUUUUACAAGUAUACAACUAAGUGAAAUUGAUCUGUGAUUUUUCUUUUUUGUGCUAUUUUUGUCAUGUUUUGAUAUCAGAUAUUCUGGUUGUGUUAAAAUAAUUUUGAGGAUUUUCUUCUUAUACUGUGUUCUAGAGUGGGUAAAAAAGCCCUAGUCUCACUAUCAGUGUUUAAGUGAACACAUCAGUGACAUCAUCUGGACUCUCCUUUGUUUUUGCUGGUUUGGAGUUAGGACAUCUAGAAGUUUUUUUCUUUUUUUCCUUUUUUUGUAUGGUUAUUGCUUGUUCUUUGUUUUGUGUCAAAUUUAACCUGUUUUCUCUUAGCAAAUCACAGCUCAUGCAGAUUUUCAAACACAUUAGCCUUGUUAUACAAAGUGUUCUUUCAUCAUUCUAUUAAAUUUCCAUUUUCAUUCCAGUUAUAGUUAUUUCUGCUGUGCCUUUGUUAAUGAAUAAGUUUAAACAGUGGAUGUUUAGCAUCACUAGCCUUCCCCUUCCAUCUCCCUUAAUCAGGACCUUGGUAUAAUUUAUCAGGUAUUUUUUAAGGUUCUAAUUUACUUAUAUAUAUUGUUUCUGUAUUCUUUUGUUUCUUUUCUUAAUAAAUUCUUAAACCUGUGUAA
rnacentral:lncRNA from 1 species